rnacentral:lncRNA from 1 species
AUGUUUGGGUGCCAGACUCAGCUGCUGGAGGGUCUCCCAAGCCUCCCACGCCAGGACCCCGGGCAACACUCCCUCUGUGCCCUGAGCCACCCUGGCUGUCCCAUUCCCAGCCCUGCCAUCUCUCUGGGGGCUGCUUGGAUUCUUGCUUGCUUUUUCAGGGAAUGCACGAUUCCACCUCCCGGCCAAAAGAAAGCACAGGAUAAAGGACACUUCAUCAUGGUCUCACUAACACCACAAAGCACAUCACACAGUACAGGAGAGUCGGGGCCUGGCGCUUCUCUAACGAAGCAAGGUAAGCUGGCAGCAUCAGCAGCGACACGUGUGGUGAUUCCCUCUCGGGGACUCCAGCAAGCCCGGACCCCUCUUUGGACGAAAAUCCCACCCCAUGUAAACAAUCCGUGUGGAAGGGGAGAAAGCAGCACCCCAUUGUCCCAGCUGGACAAGGAGAGCCCUUCCUUGGCCUCCCAGACUUCGGGGUGCAGGGCACCCCAGCUGCCCUCGCCACCCCCGCACCGCAAGCCCUGCCCCAGUCACAUUUUCGGGGAGGGGGGAAGGAGGGAAUGGAUUCCCUGGGUACCCCCAUCCCUGCGACAGCCCAAACAAGCCACACCUAAAGCGUCUUUUCACCCCGCAGGUUCUCAAAGUGCUUCGCAAACCACAGAGACACAGAGAGCGCCCGUGUCCCUCCUCCCCGGCCCCCCCGGCCGGAGCUCUCCUCCCCCGCGGUGCGGAACGCGGCCCCCCCAUUAUUGCAUAGCAUCGCAGGCCCUGAUUUCAGGGGGAUGGGCACAACCACCCCACGCGUGGGGACCAGCCCCGCCGGGGGGGGGGGGGGACACGACGCCUCCCUCCCCACCCCCUCCGUUCCUGUGGCCUUCCCAUGGGAUGUGCCCCAGAGGCGUGGGACCACCCGGAUGGGGCCCACGGCUCCCCUGGCUCCUUACCCCGAGAGCAGACAAACGCCAUCCUACGAGGAUCCUUUAUCUUUUCUUUUUCUUUUUUUCUUUCUUUUUUUUUUUUUUUUGGUGUUUUGUGUUUUUAAAUAAAAAAUAA